CAAAGUGACAGGUGGUGCAUGGUUGUCGUCAGCUCGUGUCGUGAGAUGUUGGGUUAAGUCCCGCAACGAGCGCAACCCUUAAGCUUAGUUGCCAUCAUUAAGUUGGGCACUCUAAGUUGACUGCCGGUGACAAACCGGAGGAAGGUUGGGAUGACGUCAAAUCAUCAUGCCCCUUAUGAUUUGGGCUACACACGUGCUACAAUGGACAAUACAAAGGGCAGCGAAACCGCGAGGUCAAGCAAAUCCCAUAAAGUUGUUCUCAGUUCGGAUUGUAGUCUGCAACUCGACUACAUGAAGCUGGAAUCGCUAGUAAUCGUAGAUCAGCAUGCUACGGUGAAUACGUUCCCGGGUCUUGUACACACCGCCCGUCACACCACGAGAGUUUGUAACACCCGAAGCCGGUGGAGUAACCUUUUAGGAGCUAGCCGUCGAAGGUGGGACAAAUGAUUGGGGUGAAGUCGUAACAAGGUAGCCGUAUCGGAAGGUGCGGCUG
rnacentral:rRNA from 1 species